rnacentral:rRNA from 1 species
AGGAUGAACGCUGGCGGCGUGCCUAACACAUGCAAGUCGAACGUCCUGUCUCGCAAGAGGCAGGGAGUGGCGGACGGGUGAGUACCACGUGGGUCAUCUACCGUGAGGUGAGGAAUACCGGCGAGAAAUCGCCGACAAGACCGCAUAGGCUCGAUGCAAGUCGAGCAAAGCUCUUUCGAGAGAGGGAGCGCCACACGAGGAGCCUGCGCCCGAUUAGCUAGCUGGUGGAGUAACGGUUCACCAGGGCGACGAUCGGUAGCUGGUCUGAGAGGACGAUCAGCCACACUGGGAUUGAGAACGGCCCAGACUCCGUACGGGGGCAGCAGUGAGGAAUUUUCGUCAAUGGGGCAACCCUGAACGAGCAACGCCGCGUGCAGGAAGAAGGUUUUCGGAUCGUAAACUGCUUUUCGUCGGGGAAGAGAACGGACGGUACCCGAGGAAUCGAGCCCCGGCUAACGUACGUGCCAGCAGCCGC